GAUGAACGCUGGCGGCGUGCCUAAUACAUGCAAGUCGAGCGAACUGAUUAGAAGCUUGCUUCUAUAACGUUAGCGGCGGACGGGUGAGUAACACGUGAGCAACCUGCCUGUAAGACUGGGAUAACUUCGGGAAACCGAAGCUAAUACCGGAUAGGAUCUACUCCUUCAUGGGAGAUGAUUGAAAGAUGGUUUCGGCUAUCACUUACAGAUGGGCCCGCGGUGCAUUAGCUAGUUGGUGAGAUAACGGCUCACCAAGGCAACGAUGCAUAGCCGACCUGAGAGGGUGAUCGGCCACACUGGGACUGAGACACGGCCCAGACUCCUACGGGAGGCAGCAGUAGGGAAUCUUCCGCAAUGGACGAAAGUCUGACGGAGCAACGCCGCGUGAGUGAUGAAGGCUUUCGGGUCGUAAAACUCUGUUGUUAGGGAAGAACAAGUACAAGAGUAACUGCUUGUACCCUGACGGUACCUAACCAGAAAGCCACGGCUAACUACGUGCCAGCCGCCGCAGUAA
rnacentral:rRNA from 1 species